rnacentral:rRNA from 1 species
UACAGAGACCUCAAGCGUUAUCCGGAAUCAUUGGGCGUAAAGCGUACCGAUAGGUGGUUAUGCAAGUCAGACGUGAAAUCUCCGAGCUCAACUCGGAAUCUGUCGUUUGAAACUGCACAACUAGAGGGGCAAAGAGGAAGCUGGAACGAACGGUGUAGUAGUGAAAUGCGUUGAUAUCGUUCGGAACACCAAUAGCGUAGGCAGGCUUCUGGGUGCCACCUGACACUGCUAGGACGAAAGCGUGGGGAGCGAACGGG